rnacentral:rRNA from 1 species
GACGAACGCUGGCGGCGUGCUUAACACAUGCAAGUCGAACGGAAAGGCCCUGCUUUUGUGGGGUGCUCGAGUGGCGAACGGGUGAGUAACACGUGAGUAACCUGCCCUUGACUUUGGGAUAACUUCAGGAAACUGGGGCUAAUACCGGAUAGGAGCUCCUGCUGCAUGGUGGGGGUUGGAAAGUUUCGGCGGUUGGGGAUGGACUCGCGGCUUAUCAGCUUGUUGGUGGGGUAGUGGCUUACCAAGGCUUUGACGGGUAGCCGGCCUGAGAGGGUGACCGGCCACAUUGGGACUGAGAUACGGCCCAGACUCCUACGGGAGGCAGCAGUGGGGAAUAUUGCACAAUGGGCGGAAGCCUGAUGCAGCAACGCCGCGUGCGGGAUGACGGCCUUCGGGUUGUAAACCGCUUUCGCCUGUGACGAAGCGUGAGUGACGGUAAUGGGUAAAGAAGCACCGGCUAACUACGUGCCAGCAGCCGCGGUGAUACGUAGGGUGCGAGCGUUGUCCGGAUUUAUUGGGCGUAAAGGGCUCGUAGGUGGUUGAUCGCGUCGGAAGUGUAAUCUUGGGGCUUAACCCUGAGCGUGCUUUCGAUACGGGUUGACUUGAGGAAGGUAGGGGAGAAAUGGAAUUCCUGGUGGAGCGGUGGAAUGCGCAGAUAUCAGGAGGAACACCAGUGGCGAAGGCGGUUCUCUGGGCCUCUCCUGACGCUGAGGAGCGAAAGCGUGGGGAGCGAACAGGCUUAGAUACCCUGGUAGUCCACGCUGUAAACGGUGGGUACUAGGUGUGGGGUCCAUUCCACGGGUUCCGUGCCGUAGCUAACGCUUUAAGUACCCCGCCUGGGGAGUACGGCCGCAAGGCUAAAACUCAAAGGAAUUGACGGGGCCCCGCACAAGCGGCGGAGCAUGCGGAUUAAUUCGAUGCAACGCGUAGAACCUUACCUGGGUUUGACAUGGAUCGGGAGCGCUCAGAGAUGGGUGUGCCUCUUUUGGGGUCGGUUCACAGGUGGUGCAUGGCUGUCGUCAGCUCGUGUCGUGAGAUGUUGGGUUAAGUCCCGCAACGAGCGCAACCCUUGUUCACUGUUGCCAGCACGUUAUGGUGGGGACUCAGUGGAGACCGCCGGGGUCAACUCGGAGGAAGGUGGGGAUGACGUCAAGCCAUCAUGCCCCUUAUGUCCAGGGCUUCACGCAUGCUACAAUGGCUGGUACAGAGAGUGGCGAGCCUGUGAGGGUGAGCGAAUCUCGGAAAGCCGGUCUCAGUUCGGAUUGGGGUCUGCAACUCGACCUCAUGAAGUCGGAGUCGCUAGUAAUCGCAGAUCAGCAACGCUGCGGUGAAUACGUUCCCGGGGCU